UUUUUAUUAAGGGGGCUCCUGGGUAUAAAUCAAUUUUUUUUUUCUAAUAUAGGAUUUCGCUAUAUUUUUUUAUAAAUGAACUUUAUCAUAUACUUAAAAGAAAAAUGAAAUAAAAAAAUGGGGUCACCGUUCAUUUACGCUCUCAAUCUGCCUCCGAAAGAAGCAUAAAUUUUUGUUAAUGUCCUUUUUUUUCUGUUGAACUAAUAGGAGAAAUAGAGGUAAUAACGAAAUAAAAAAAUAACCUAAUUACAGAAAUCGCUUAAAUUUUACAAUUAUUUAGUUGAUGUACAGAGUAUGUGUAAUCA
rnacentral:lncRNA from 1 species